GGUAAAAUCAAUUUUAAAACUUGAGUCUCCAAAUUCCUGUUUUCCUAUCCACAUCUCUAUAUGGGGCUUCUUAUAAUUAUGCAUCUUAAAGGCAGAAAGACAAUAGAAUUUAAAUGUUCAGAGAAUAUUCGAAUGCCAGCUCCUCACUAAAUGGGGGCUUUGUAAAUGGAGAACAAGCGACCAAAACAAAUCUAAACAAGAAAUAAAUGAAUGCGAAAUCCAAUGGAGAAGGCAACCAGCAACAAGCCAUUCAUCUACUGUGAUACAAACAAAACAAAAUUCUAUUUUCAAUCCCCAAUGACGAUUGCCAAUGGAAACAGACACAGAACCCGAAUAAAGAACUUAGUGAGUGCCAGUGAUCUUAAGCAAGUAAUCGGAUACAAACAUGUGAAUAUGUAGGAAUGAAUGUGGACGAGAGGAACGCUAACCGACAGCGUCCAACCAGUGGCUGGCUGGCCGGUUAUAUUGUUGGCCAACAAUUCGUCGCCGCGCUCUAACCAUUGUACUUCGCUCUGUGUAAGGGGUUCUCCUAACAUGGAAAACGUGGUAAACACACCAGUCAACCAACUUCUUGUAUGGGUAGAAAAUAUUCUUGUUGUUGCUGUUGUCCAGAGUUUUUAAAAAUCUUAACUUGAACACUUUGUAUGUUUUUUUUUAUUAUUCUUUGUAAUUUUUUUUUUCUGAAGAUUUGUUCUUUUUUUCCUCUGACGAUUUUUUGCUCAAUUUGUCGUUGGACAGGUUCUACGAGUUUUAUGUAAAUUUUGUUUAAUAGCCAAUAUCAGAGAUACAUCAAUACGAGUAUGUAUCCACGUACAUAUGUCCACAUUAAGGUAUUUAUAAUCGUUGAUUUGUAUGCUUUUAAAUACAUAUGUAUAUACGUAUGUACAUAGUACAUAAACCUUUAUUUGUUGUACAUAUAGAUACCAUAUGUAUUGAACAA